UUUAAUUUUGAGAUGAAGUUUUGUGCUUGUUGCUCAGGCUGGAGGGCAAUGGUGAGAUCUCGGCUUAGUGCAACCUCUGCCUCCUGAGUUCAAGCUAUUCUCCUGCCUCAGCUUCCUGAGUAGCUGGGAUGACAUGCAUGUGCCACCAUGUCUGGUUAAUUGUGUAUUUUUAGUAGACAUGGGGUUUCUCCAUGUUGAUCCAGCUGGUCUUGAACUCCCAAUCUCAGGUGAUCAACCCACCUUGACCUCCCAAAGUUCUGGGAUUGCAGAUGUGAGCCACUGAACCUGAAAAAAUUGAGAAAUCUAGAAGAAACUGAUAAAUUCCUGGUCACAACCACCCUCCCUGAGAUGCAAGUUUGGUUUAACAUAUGCAAAUUGAUAAAUGUCAUCGUCACAUAAACAGAACUAAAGAAAAAAAUUACCCACAUGAUUAUCUCAAUGGAUGCAAAAACAGCUUUUGAUAAAAUUCAACUUUCAUGUGUGUUAAAAACUCUCAAUAAACCAGGUAUUGAAGGAACAUACCUCAAAAUAAUAAGAGCCACAUGUGACAAAACCACAGCCAGCAUCAUACUGAAUGGACAAAAGCUGAAAGCAUUCCCCUUAAAAAUUGGCACAAGAUAAAGAUGCCCUCUCUCCCCACUCCCAUUCAGCAUAGCUUUGAGGGUGUUCUUUGCUCUUGGAUUUCUAAUUCUUUUAAUUGUGAUGUUGGGUAGUUAACUUGAGAUCUCAAUUUUGUUUUUGAGAUGGAGUGUUGUUCUCUCAACCAGGCUGGAGUGCAGUGGUGUGAUAUGGGCUCACUGCAACAUUUAUCUCCUGGGUUCAAGCAGUUCUCCUGCCUCAGCCUCCUGAGUACCUGGGAUUACAGAUGAAGAAGAUGAGACUCAGAGCAAUACAUAAGUUGCCCAAGGUCAGAGAGCAAGUAAGUACCAGAAAUAAAAGCCAGAUAAAUCUCAUUCCCAUAUCCUUGCUCUUUCAAUGAUGUUUCAGAGUUGAUUACAAAAAGAAUUGUUCUGUGUGCUCAGGAUAAUUUACUACCUACUAAAUUUAACCAUAGGGCAGUCUUAUAAACAGGGUAGAGUAUGCAGUUAAGAUAAAAUUUGAGAGGAAAAAAUUAAAUUAAAAUAGUACAUAACCAAUGAUCAGAAUAUUCUCUCAGUAUUUUAGAAAUUUAUGUAAGAAUAAACUAGAUACUGAUAAAAAAGUCACAUUCUUUAUGCACAAAUCUUGUAAGUAGCUACUGUUAAAGAGAGGAUAUUAUUUACCUAGAAGAAAGUGGGGUUGUCAACCACUAUAUAACCAUUCGUGGGGUGAAUGUCUUUUUUAUUUUAGGCCUCUGGCUGAUGGAUCCAAGAGGUAGAUACGUGAUGUCAAAAUAUUCUCUUUUAUAGGUAAUUACAAUUUACAAUGGAAGAUACAGAGGCCACAAGGUAGUAGAGUUGAGUUAUAUUAACAGAAAACCUUGUUAGAGAAAAGAACCACCUCUCACUAUCAUGUUCAAUGGCAAAGAUUAAUAGAAGGUACAGCAAAAUGGACACACAUGCGAGUAUACCCACAUUGAUAUUGGAAGUAACUUUUUUCUUAUAUACUAUAAAUCAUAUCCCAGAAUAUACUCAUAAUGUGUACACUUAUUGGGAUAUUACAAUCAACGUACAAAAUAUGUACCAUAUGUACAUUGACUGUGAUGUACAUAUGUGUACACAAUACAGAUGUACAAAAAAUGUACAUAAUCUGUACAAUAUGUACAUUUAUAUGUACAUAAUGUGUACACAGUAGGUAUGUACAUAAUGUGUACAAUAUGUAAAUAUAUUGUAAUAUUACAAUGAUUUCAUAUAAUCACAACAGCAUAUAUAAUCACAAUACACAUAUACAUAAUAUCAAUAUAAAUGUACAUAUUGCACACAUUAUAUACAUUUACAUUUAUUGUGAUAUUACGAUAUGUACACAUGUACAUCAUGCACACGUGCAGAUUUGCGGUAUAUACACGUGUACAUAAGUGUGCACAGUAUGUACAUAUGUACACUACACAUAUGUUCAUAUAAUGUAGAUAUGUACCUUCUGUACAGGAGUACACAGUAUGUACAAUAUGUACACGUAUAUACUAGGUACACAUAUAGGUGUAUACCCACUUUGGUAACCGGAGAGAUUUCUAUCUAAUAUACUAAAUAUAAAAUCCCAGAAUGUAGUCAUAGUGUGUACAUUUAUUGUCGUAUUGUGAUAAAUGUAUUAAAUAGGCACAAUCUGUACAUGUACUCUGCUGUACAUAGGUGUACACAAUGCACAUGUACAAAAAAUGUACAUAAUCUGUAAAAUAUGUACCUAUAUAUUUCUAUAAUGUGUACACAAUGCAUAGGUACAUAAUGUGUACACUAUGCACAUUCCUUAAAAUAUCAGUGAUAAAAUAUAUAUAAUCACAGUAAGAUAUAUAAUCACACUAAUACAUAUAUGUCGUGUAAUAUCACCAAAAAGUACGUAUUGUACACAUUAGGUAUGUAUUAGGUACAUAUGUAUAGUGCACAUAUUAUGAAAAUAUAUAUGUAUCAUGAUAACACCGUAUGUACACGUAUACAAAUAUGUGCCUACUAUUUAAACAAUGUACACAUGCAGAAAUAGGUGCAAACUACAUACCUAUGCACAGCAGGCUAUUACUACAGUUCUGCUCGUAGCAGCCUCAAUGCCCACCCUGGCUGCUUAAAGACCCCCUGGCUAGGGGGCUGUACCCACAGCCCCCGCCAGAGGGCCCAUAACAGCUACCAGGCCCACGCUGGCUGCUUAGGGACCCCCUGCCUAGGGCGCUGUGCCCACAGCUGCUGGGGCCCGGCUAUUUUGAAAAUGUGGUGUAAUAUGAUACUGGCAACCAUAUCACACAGAAAUGAUAAUGUUAUUGUGGUUCUUUACAUAUUAGGCAAUAGUUCUAGUUACACAUUUGGCAUAUUGACAAAAAUGUCAUCCUCACCCCAUUGACAUUAGAAUUGAAAGCAUAGGAGGGUUUCACCCCUUGCAAUGUUUAAUUCAAUAUAAUUGUUUUCUUGUUUACAUUAGUGACCAUAUCAGAGCACGGUGUACAUCUCUUGCAGUAUUCAGAAUAUUUCUCUAUGGGCAGCAACAUUUUUCUCUCCUUAUCUGGAUAUUAGGAAGAAUAUCACAGGACCGGCUUACAGCGCCAGUCACAUCUGACCAUAUCAGAGCACAGUGUACUCCUCUUGCCGUAUUCAGAGGAUUUGCCUAUGGGCAGCAACAUUAUUCUCUCGUUCUCUGGAUAUUAGGAACAAUAUCACAGGACCGGCGGACAGCCCCAGUCAUAUCGUGAGUAAUGUCAUCUGUAAUCCCUUAGUUAUUAGAAAAAAUAUCACGGGGGUCUUGUGUGCUUUAUCAGAUACUUGGAGUAAUAUCUUUUCCGUUUUUGGAUAUUAGACACGAUACUACAGUGGUGGUGUACACUUCCUGCGAUAUUCAGGGUAUAAUAAUCUUUUGUCCCCAGGAUAUUAGGUAGUACAUUAAAGAAGCCUUGUACUUUGCCUGUGAUAUUGGAACAAUCACAGAGUGAACACUUGCUUUCAAAAUGAGAGUAAUACCUACUUAAAAUAUGAUGGAUAAUAUCAAAAAAUGGACACACAUGGGUGUAUACCCACUUUGAUAUAGAAAGAAAUUUUUAUCUAAUAUACUAAAAAUCAUAUAUCACAAUAUACUCAUAAUGUGUACACUUAUUGAGAUGUUACAAUCAAUGUGCAGAAUACAUACCAUAUGUACAUAGAGUGUUAUGUACAUAUGUGUACACAAUACAGAUGUACCAAAAACGUACAUAAUCUGUACAAUAUGUGCAAUUACAGGUACAUAAUGUGUACACAAUAGGUAUGUACGAAAUGUGUGCAAUAUGUACAUUUAUUGUAAUAUUACAAUGAUAUCAUAUAAUCACAACAGCAUAUAAAAUCACAAUACACAAGUAAUACAUAAUAUAAAUGUACAUAUUGCACACAUCGUGUACAUUUACAUUUAUUGUGGUAUCACGGUGUGUACACAUGCACAUCAUGUACCCAUUAUGUACACAUGUACAAAAUAUGCACAUGUACAUAUGUGUGAACAGUAUGUACAUUUGCACACUAUGUACACAUAAAUACAUAUAAUGUUGACAUGUACAUUUUGUACAUGAGUACCUAAUAUGCACAAUAUGUACACGUAUAAACUAUGUACACACCUGGGUGUACACCCACUUUGGUCAAUGGAGUAAUUUCUAAUAUGGUAAAAAUUAUAUUUUAGAAUGUACUCAUAAUGUGUACAUUUAUUGGCAUAUCACAAGAAAUGUAUAAAAUAGGUACAGUCUGUACAUUUACUCUGCUGUGCAUAGGUGUACACAAUACACAUGUAGAAAAAGUGUACAUAAUCUGUAAAAUAUGUACCUAUAUAUUUCUAUAUUGUGUACACAAUACAUAGGUAUAUAAUGUGUACACUAUGCACAUUCCUUAAAAUAUUAGUGAUAAAAUAUAUUUAAUCACAAUAAGAUAUAUAAUCACAGUAAUAUAUAUUGUCUAAUAUUACAAAAAAGUACAUAUUGUACACAUUAGGUAUGCAUUAGGUACAUAUGUAUUUUGCACAUAUUAUGUAAAUAUAAAUUUAUCGUGAUAACACCAUAUGUACGCAUGUACAUAUAUAUGCCCGAUAUUAAAACUAUUUACACAUGUAGUAAUAGGUGCAAACUAUGUACCGAUGCACAGCACGCUAUUACCAAAGCCCCCCUUAUAGCAGCCCCCAGGCCCAGCCUGGCUGCUUAGAGACCCCCUGGCAAUUGGGCUGUGCCCACAAACACUGCUCGAAUGCCUGUAGCAGCCCCCAUGCCCACCCUGGCUGCUUAGGGACCCCCUGACUAGGUGUCUGUGCCCACAGCCCAUGCCAGAGUGCCCGUAGCGGCCCCCAGGCCAACCAUGGCUGCUCAGGGACCCCUGGCUGGGUCGAUGUGCUCACAGACCCCACCAAAAAGCCCAGAGCAGCCCCCAGGCCCACCCUGGCUGCUUAGGGGUCCCCUCGCUUGUGGGCUCUGCCCACAGCUGCUGAGGCCCAGCUAUUUUGCAAAUCAGGUGUAAUAUGAUACUGGCAACCAUAUUAUAUAAAAAUGAUAAUCUUAUUCUGUUUUUUUGUAUAUUAGGCAAUAGCUCCAGUUACACCUCUGCCAUAUUGACAAAAAUGUCAUCCUCACCCCCAUUGACAUUAGAAUGAAAAUCAUAGGGGAGUUUCAUUCCUUGCAAUGCUUAAUUCAAUGUAAUUGUUUUCUUGCUUACAUUAGUGACCAUAUCAAAGCAUGGUGUACACCUCUUGCCGUAUUAAGAGUAUUUCCCUAUGGGCAGCAACAUUUUCCUCUCCUUCUCUGGAUAUUAGGAACAAUAUUCCAGGACCAGAGUACAGCCCCAGUCACGUCGUGGGUAAUGUCAUCUGUAAUUCUCUAGUUAUUAGAAACAAUAUCACGGGGGGCUUGUGUGCUUUCUGAGAUAUUUGGAGUAAUAUCCUUUCCGUUUUUGAACAUUAGAAACAAUACUACAGUGGUGGUGUACACUUCCUGCGAUAUUCAGGGUAUGGUCAUCCUUUGUCCUCAGGAUAUUAUUAACUACAUCACAGACGAGUUUUAGUUUGCCUUGAUAUUGGAGCAAUCCGAGAGUGUAAACCUGCUUUCACAAUGAGAGAAAUACCUACUCAGGAUAUGAUGGAUAAUAUCACAAAAUGGACACACAUAAGUGUAUACCCACUUUGAUAUUGAAAGUAAUUUUUAUCUAACAUACUAAAAAUCAUAUCCCAGAAUAUACUUAUAAUGUGUACUCUUACUGAAAUAUUACAAACAAUGCACAGAAUAUGUACCAUAUGUACGUUGACUGUGAUGUACAUAUGUGUGCACCAUACAGAUGUACAAUAAAUAUACAUAAUCUGUACAAUAUGUACAUUUAUGUGUACAUAAUAUGUACACAAUAGGUAUGUCCAUAAUGUGUACAAUAUGUACAUUUGUAAUAUCACAAUGAUAUCAGAACAGCAUAUACAAUCACAAUACACAUGUAAUACAUAAUAUAAAUGUACGUAUUUCACACAUUAUGUACAUUUCCAUUUAUUGUGGUAUGACGAUGUGUUUACAUGUACAGCAUGGACCCAUUAUGUACGGAUGUACAAUAAAUUCAGGUGUAGAUAUAUGUACAUAGUAUGUACAUAUGUACGCUCUGUACCCAUACAUACAUAUAAUGUAGAUAUUUACCUUCUGUACACAAGUACAUAAUAUGCACAGUAUGUACAUGUACAAAGUAUGUGCACACAUAAGUUUACACCCACUUUGGUAACCAGAGUAAUUUCUAUCUUAUAUUCUAAAUGUAAUAUCACAGAAUGUACUCAUAAUGUGUACAUUUAUUGGCAUAUCACAAUAAAUGUAUAAAGUAAGAUCUGUACAUUUACUCUGUGUACCCAAUACACAAGUAAAUAAAAUGUACAUAACCUGUAAAAUAUGUUUCUUUCUAUUUCUAUAAUCUGUGCACAAUGCAUAGGUACAUAAUGUGUAUAAUAUGUACAUUUGUAAUGUCACAAUGAUAUCAUAUCACAACAGCAUAUAUAAUCACAAUAAACGUAAUACAUAAUAUAAACGUACAUAUUGCAAACAUUAUGUAUAUUUACAUUUAUUGUGAUAUGAUGUGUACACAUGUACAUCAUGUACCCAUUAUGUACAGAUGUACAAUAUAUGCACGUGUACGUAUGUGUGCACAGUAUGUACAUAUGUAUGCUGCGUACACCUAUGUAUAUAUAAUGUAGACAUGUACAUUCUGUACAUGAGUACAUAAUAUGCACAACAUGUACAUGUAUAAACUAUGUGCGCACCUGGGUGUAAACCCACUUUGGUCACCGGUGUAAUUCCUAUCUAAUAUGCUAAAAAUUAUA